rnacentral:hammerhead_ribozyme from 1 species
AUCCAGUUGACGAGUCUCAAAUAGGACGAAACACACCUCCUAGAU